rnacentral:rRNA from 1 species
UUGGGAAUCUUGCACAAUGGGGGAAACCCUGAUGCAGCGACGCCGCGUGGAGGACGAAGGAUCUAGGUCUGUAAACUCCUUUUUCACGGAAAGACUUAGGACGGUACCGUGAGAAUAAGCCCCGGCUAACUACGUGCCAGCAGCCGCGGUAAGACGUAGGGGGCGAGCGUUGUCCGGAUUUACUGGGCGUAAAGAGCGCGUAGGCGGCUCGUUAAGUGUGAAGUGAAAUCUCCAGGGCUCAACCCGGAAA